rnacentral:rRNA from 1 species
UUGAACGCUGGCGGCAUGGCUAAAACAUGCAAGUCCGGGAUAGCCCUUCGGGGUGAAACCGGUGGAAGGGCGAGUAAUGCGAUCGAACGUACCCCGAGGUGGAGGAUAGCUGUGGGAAACUGCAGGUAAUACUCCAUGUGUUCCAAGGAAGAAAGCUUCGGCGCCUUGGGAGCGGCGAUCGUCCUAUCAGGUAGUUGGCGGGGUAAAGGCCCACCAAGCCUAAGACGGGUAGCGGGUGUGAGAGCACGGCCCGCCGCAUCGGGACUGAGACACUGCCCGGACUCCUACGGGAGGCUGCAGUAACGAAUAUUCCGCAAUGCGCGAAAGCGUGACGGAGCAAUGCCGCGUGCAGGAUGAAGCGGUUUCGCCGUGUAAACUGCUGUCAGGGACUAGAAAUACUGAUCAGUCCCAGAGGAAGAGACGGCUAACCCUGU